rnacentral:rRNA from 1 species
AAUUUUCUAGUAUCUCAUAGCCUUGAAAUUCACUAACAUCCAUUACUCGUAGUCUCGUACUCAUACUCGUAUACAUAUGGCAGACUUGCAAACCAGCAUCUGAUUAAAACAAUCGACCAACCGGCAAUACCCCAUAAUAUGUUCCUCACUUUCUUAACAUCAUAAGAGUUAACUGGAUUGUACAAAAGAGAACGGAGAGGCAAAGGAUUAUCUUUCUUUUUUGUACAGAACGGAGGAGGGAAAGAGAGCCUGCCGAGGGUCAGACAGCGGCACCGGAUAGCGGAGAUUGGCAGGAGAGCCAGAGAGCGACAAAGGCAGCGCUCUCGGCUCAAUCCCUCCAUGGAUGCCUGCUUCUCCUGGUUGGUCUCGUGGAGCCGUGGACGUCGACGAACAAGAUUGGAGCCAUCCCAACCUGGCAACCUCGUCCGCACCACACCCUCAGGUCGUAGGGGGAGACGGCACAUGGCGAGCCAGGCCGGGGCGCUCGGACUGCCGUGGCCGGCGGAGGCCUCGGCCGUUGUACCCGGGGUGUGGGUGGCGCACGCAGGGCCGACCUUAGGCAGCGGCGGUGCGCCCCCGCCAUCGAUGUUGUAGAUUUUCGAGGAGAGGUCAAUGGCGGCGUGAAUAUGGCCAUGCCGGCGGGGCCGAUUGACGCCAGCGCUCUCGAGGUUGGGCUGGAGCUGGGGGGUGGCAAGGGGAUCGGAGCGGCUGGAGGGGAGGAUGCUCUGGGCGGC